GACGAACGCUGGCGGCGUGCCUAAUACAUGCAAGUCGAGCGCAGGAAAUCGACGGAACCCUUCGGGGGGAAGUCGAUGGAAUGAGCGGCGGACGGGUGAGUAACACGUAAAGAACCUGCCCUCAGGUCUGGGAUAACCACGAGAAAUCGGGGCUAAUACCGGAUGGGUCAUCGGACCGCAUGGUCCGAGGAUGAAAGGCGCUUCGGCGUCGCCUGGGGAUGGCUUUGCGGUGCAUUAGCUAGUUGGUGGGGUAAUGGCCCACCAAGGCGACGAUGCAUAGCCGACCUGAGAGGGUGAUCGGCCACACUGGGACUGAGACACGGCCCAGACUCCUACGGGAGGCAGCAGUAGGGAAUCUUCCACAAUGGACGAAAGUCUGAUGGAGCAACGCCGCGUGAACGAUGAAGGCCUUCGGGUCGUAAAGUUCUGUUGUAAGGGAAGAACAAGUGCCGCAGGCAAUGGCGGCACCUUGACGGUACCUUGCGAGAAAGCCACGGCUAACUACGUGCCAGCAGCCGCCGUAA
rnacentral:rRNA from 1 species